rnacentral:tRNA from 1 species
GGGGUAUAGCUCAAUUGGUAGAGCACCGGUCUCCAAAACCGGGGGUUGCGGGUUCGAUUCCUACUGCCC